UAGCUAAUUUCUGCAAGAAAAAAUUUCACUACCAAGAAUUUGCAGCUGUCCUGUGUUUUUAGGCCCUCUAUUCAGUGCUUUCUUCCAUAUUUUCUGGGUUAUUAUACACUUUAAAACUUCUACAGUAAAAAUUUUGGUUCCUGUACAAAUUAGUAGUGACUAUAUGUUACUAUACAUACCUAUUAUCAAGAUAAAAACGGUUGCUUGUGGAGACAGCAAGUAACACAAAGUCGACUUUUGACUAAAGUCGGAGUCGACUUUCCAUCCCUAUUUCAUUAUCGUAUUUUCUCUCGUUUAGCAUGUAGCACUCUUUGAAAUUGUACGUGGUUACCAAGAAUAGUUCAUUACGCCAUGCGUGGUUACCUAGCAGCAUCUUCGUUGCGCUUGUUUAAAUUAUUUUUCCUGUAUCAACAAUUCGAAACUAAUAAAAUAAGCCAUAUCUUCAACACGUCUGAUAUGCGUAUCCGGCUUAUAGCGUUCCUUGGGAUUCGCCUUAGGAUAUUGGUGGUUCAUCGUUAUGGUAAACGCACAUACCAGGGUGCAGAGUUUUUACAGACCAUGUAACACCAACGUUUACCCGGCGUUCGCAAAAAGCUGAAUUAACGAUGUAUUUGCAUUGUCUCAUAUUUUCAUGCUUGCGCCCAACAUGCAUUGGUCCAUUAUUGCAGAAGCCAAUACAGCUAGUCACUUGGCAAGUUUUUGGCGCGAAGUGGUAUAGCGGUGAACAUUCCACAUUAAAAUGCCGUAAAUGUUUAAAUUAAAAGGCAAAGAUCCCAAUUGUGGUACAUUUCAAGGAUGACGGAAAUUCUUAAUGUGUUGAAUUGUUAGCUGAAAUGGCAAAAGUUAAAGCUGGACGUGUUGGUGUAUGGCCAGUUGGUUAAGUAGGUGGACUAAUGGUGGGAAAACCAAUAAUCAAUGCUGAAAAACACAAGUUGUUGGAGUUAAUGCUGCAUGGCGGCCAUUCCCCAAAGAUAUGGCGGUAUUUGCCGUUCAAAUGUCCACGAGAACAAUUUGCUUUUAAA